UCGAGAAUAAUUCACAAUGGGGGAAACCCUGAUGGUGCAACGCCGCGUGGAGGAUGAAGGUCUUCGGAUUGUAAACUCCUGUCAUCUGGGAGUAAGACCUGGGCGUGAAUAGCGCACAGGGUUGAUAGUACCAGAAGAGGAAGGGACGGCUAACUUCGUGCCAGCAGCCGCGGUAAUACGAAGGUCCCAAGCGUUGUUCGGAAUCACUGGGCGUAAAGGGUGCGUAGGCGGUUUGGUAAGUCAGAUGUGAAAUCCCGGGGCUCAACCCCGGAACUGCAUCCGAUACUGCCAGACUUGAGGACUGGAGAGGUGACUGGAAUUCUCGGUGUAGCAGUGAAAUGCGUGGAUAUCGAGAGGAACACUCGUGGCGUAAGCGAGUCACUGGACAGUAUCUGACGCUGAGGCACGAAGGCCAGGGUAGCGAAAG
rnacentral:rRNA from 1 species